GAUGAACGCUGGCGGCGUGCCUAAUACAUGCAAGUCGAACUUGAUUUUCGGAUUGAGUGGCGAACGGGUGAGUAGCGCGUAGGUAACCAACCCUGUACUGGGGGAUAGCCCCGGGAAACCGGGAUUAAUACCGCAUAAGACUACAGCACCGCAUGGUGCAGUAGUAAAAACUUCGGUGGUACAGGACGGACCUGCGUCUUAUUAGGUAGUUGGUGAGGUAACGGCUCACCAAGCCAACGAUGAGUAGCCGACCUGAGAGGGUGAUCGGCCAAAUUGGGACUGAGAAACGGCCCAAAAUCCUACGGGAGGCAGCAGUGGGGAAUAUUGCGCAAUGGGGGAAACCCUGACGCAGCGACGCCGCGUGAAGGAAGAAGUAUUUCGGUAUGUAAACUUCUAUCAGCAGGGAAGAAAAUGACGGUACCUGACUAAGAAGCCCCGGCUAAUUACGUGCCAGCAGCCGCUGUAAAAC
rnacentral:rRNA from 1 species